CUCCUUUGAGACACUGCCUUUAUGAAUAAGGAAUGCUGUUGUAAAGUCUAGUUACAGCAGGUGUUUACUGCCAUCUAGUGGAAGAUACCAAUAAAACACUUUAUUUUCAGGGUGGGGAGGCGGCUGAUUGAAACAGAAAGUAAAGUUGUUCUUUUGUACAGAAUCCAUUUUGAGACGACAGAGCAGAAGACGCUAUAUGGAGAUUACUGACAAAUAAAGAUCCAUUUUGAGACGACAGAGCAGAAGACGCUAUAUGGAGAUUACUGACAAAUAAAAUCUCCAACCACCUCAGAGAUCAGUCUCUCCAGUACCCAGUCAUCUGUCCAUGAAGAGCGACUUCUCUAUGGAUCGUCCAAUACAUUUUAGUGAUGGAUCAGGGACCUUUGACCCCAGGAACACAUCAACAACAGCCACCCUCGAAGCAUCGUUACCCAUCGCUCCACAAAAGCCGCAGCCCUUGCAGAGCAAAGGGGAACAACUACUUCAAGGUCUCAGAGCGAGUGACAUCACCGAUUGAAACGCUAUUAGCGUGCACCGGGUAGUCAGCCUGCCACACAGGCUCCUCGUGGAGUGCAAUGUAAGGCAGGUGGUUAGAGCGUUGGACUAGUAACCAGAAGGUUGCAAAAACGAAUCCCCGAGCUGACAAGGUAAAAAUCUGUCAUUCUGCCCCUGAACAAGGCAGUUAACCCACUGUUGCUAGGCCGUCAUUGGAAAUAAGAAUGUGUUCUUAACUGACUUGCCUAGUUAAACAAAGGUGUAAAAAGAAAUCG
rnacentral:lncRNA from 1 species